GCCAGGCAUGGUGGCUCAUGCCUGUAGUCCUAGCAACUUGGGAGGUUGAGAUGGGAGGAUUGCUUGAGCCUGGGAGGUCGAGGCUGCAGUGGGCCCUGAUAAGGCCACUGCACUCCAGCCUGGGUGACAAAGUGAGACCCUGUCCCAA
rnacentral:SRP_RNA from 1 species